rnacentral:rRNA from 1 species
CCUACGGGAGGCAGCAGUCGAGAAUCAUUCACAAUGGGGGAAACCCUGAUGGUGCGACGCCGCGUGGGGGAAUGAAGGUCUUCGGAUUGUAAACCCCUGUCAUGUGGGAGCAAAUUAAAAAGAUAGUACCACAAGAGGAAGAGACGGCUAACUCUGUGCCAGCAGCCGCGGUAAUACAGAGGUCUCAAGCGUUGUUCGGAAUCACUGGGCGUAAAGCGUGCGUAGGCUGUUUCGUAAGUCGUGUGUGAAAGGCCCGGGCUCAACCCGCGGACGGCACAUGAUACUGCGAGACUAGAGUAAUGGAGGGGGAACCGGAAGUCUCGGUGUAGCAGUGAAAUGCGUAGAUAUCGAGAGGAACACUCGUGGCGAAGGCGGGUUCCUGGACAUUAACUGACGCUGAGGCACGAAGGCCAGGGGAGCGAAAGGGAUUAGAUACCCCAGUAGUC